rnacentral:rRNA from 1 species
UCGCCCUACGGGGGGCAGCAGUGGGGAAUAUUGCACAAUGGGGGAAACCCUGAUGCAGCAACGCCGCGUGAGUGAUGACGGCCUUCGGGUUGUAAAGCUCUGUCUUCAGGGACGAUAAUGACGGUACCUGAGGAGGAAGCCACGGCUAACUACGUGCCAGCAGCCGCGGUAAUACGUAGGUGGCAAGCGUUGUCCGGAUUUACUGGGUGUAAAGGGCGUGUAGCCGGGCCGGCAAGUCAGAUGUGAAAUCCCAAGGCUCAACCUUGGAACUGCAUUUGAAACUGUUGGACUUGAGUAUCGGAGUG